rnacentral:rRNA from 1 species
AGAGUUUGAUCAUGGCUCAGGACGAACGCUGGCGGCGUGGAUUAGGCAUGCAAGUCGAACGGUAUGGACCUUUCGGGGUUCAGAGAGUGGCGAACUGGUGAGUAACACGUAGGUAAUCUACCCUCAAGACGGGGACAACCCAGGGAAACUUGGGCUAAUACCGGAUGUGUGUAGUGGCUAUUUUUCUGAUUAUCAUUAUUUACGUAAGUGAGUAAUAAUAAGAAGGGAAAGUGGUUAUUACAUAAAAGGUGGCGUAAGCUGCCGCUUGGGGAUGAGCCUGCGUCCUAUUAGUUAGUUGGUGAGGUAACGGCUUACCAAGGCGAUGAUAGGUAGGCGGCCUUAACGGGUGGUCGCCCACACUGGGAUUGAGAUACGGCCCAGACUCCUACGGGAGGCAGCAGUGAGGAAUAUUGGUCAAUGGGCGAGAGCCUGAACCAGCCAAAUCGCGUGAAGGAUGAAGGUAUUAUGUAUUGUAAACUUCUUUUACAGGGGAAUAAAGUGCGGGACGUGUCCCGUUUUGUAUGUACCCUGAGAAUAAGGAUCGGCUAACUCCGUGCCAGCAGCCGCGGUAAUACGGAGGAUCCAAGCGUUAUCCGGAUUUAUUGGGUUUAAAGGGUGCGUAGGCGGGUAAUCAAGUCAGCGGUGAAAGUUUGCGGCUCAACCGUAAAAUUGCCGUUGAAACUGGUUACCUUGAGUGUAGAUGAGGUGGGUGGAAUUCGUGGUGUAGCGGUGAAAUGCUUAGAUAUCACGAAGAACUCCAAUUGCGUAGGCAGCUCACUGGGCUACAACUGACGCUGAGGCACGAAGGUGCGGGGAUCAAACAGGAUUAGAUACCCUGGUAGUCCGCACAGUAAACGAUGAAUGCUAGCUGUUGGCGAUACACAGUCAGUGGCACAGCGAAAGCGUUAAGCAUUCCACCUGGGGAGUACGCCGGCAACGGUGAAACUCAAAUGAAUUGACGG